GUGCAGGGGUAAAAACUCCGGUGGUACAGGAUGGACCCGCGUCUGAUUAGCUGGUUGGUGAGGUAACGGCUCACCAAGGCGACGAUCAGUAGCCGGCUUGAGAGAGUGAACGGCCACAUUGGGACUGAGACACGGCCCAAACUCCUACGGGAGGCAGCAGUAGGGAAUUUUCGUCAAUGGGGGGAACCCUGAACGAGCAAUGCCGCGUGAGUGAGGAAGGUCUUCGGAUCGUAAAGCUCUGUUGUAAGAGAAAAACGACAUUCAUAGGGAAUGAUGAGUGAGUGAUGGUAUCUUACCAGAAAGUCACGGCUAACUACGUGCCAGCAGCCGCGGUAAUACGUAGGUGGCGAGCGUUAUCCGGAAUGAUUGGGCGUAAAGGGUGCGUAGGUGGCAGAACAAGUCUGGAGUAAAAGGUAUGGGCUCAACCCGUACUGGCUCUGGAAACUGUUCAGCUAGAGAACAGAAGAGGACGGCGGAACUCCAUGUGUAGCGGUAAAAUGCGUAGAUAUAUGGAAGAACACCGGUGGCGAAGGCGGCCGUCUGGUCUGUUGCUGACACUGAAGCACGAAAGCGUGGGGAGCAAAUAGGAUUAGAUACCCUAGUAGUCCACGCCGUAAACGAUGAGAACUAGGUGUUGG
rnacentral:rRNA from 1 species